AAUGGAGGGACUAAAGGUGUUAAAACUAAAACUAAUAAUAAUAAAAACAAGGUUUAAACACCAAACACACUAAAAGAAGUGUGUCUGGUCGAUCUAAACAUCAGGAGCGAACACGAGCUUCCCCACCAAACCCUAACUUGUGCAAAUUGAUCAAAUUGGGGCUUCAAAUCAGUUCCAAAUCGAUUUCCAAGCACGAAAUUGUCAUCUCCAUUGAAAAGGGAGUCAUAAGUUUGAUCUCGUCAAGCUAAGUGGGAGCUGGAAAGGAUUGGAUCAAACGGGUCAAGUGCGCAAGGAAAGCUCGAACGGACGCAAACUAUAAGUACAUUUUGGAUGCCGGAAGACGAUCAAGCUCAACGAAGAACCGAACACGAAUAAGAUAAAAGCUUCCGCACGUCGUUUCGUCGUAACUUUUAAACGACGAACUCAAUUAUGUUAUGUUGUAUUAUUUUAAAAUUGUAAAGUUUAAACAAACCCGUAUUUUUACAAAGUAUAUGUAGUCAUAAUUACAUGUUGUUUGUCGUAUACUUUACGAAAACCAUUAAAUAAUGACAAGGGUGU